rnacentral:rRNA from 1 species
CGGCUUACACAUGCAAGUCGAGCGGUAACAGGGGAGCUUGCUCCUGCUGACGAGCGGCGGACGGGUGAGUAACGCGUAGGAAUCUGCCUAGUAGAGGGGGACAACAUGUGGAAACGCAUGCUAAUACCGCAUACGCCCUGAGGGGGAAAGGAGGGGACUUUUCGGAGCCUUCCGCUAUUAGAUGAGCCUGCGUGAGAUUAGCUAGUUGGUAGGGUAAAGGCCUACCAAGGCGACGAUCUCUAACUGGUCUGAGAGGAUGACCAGUCACACUGGGACUGAGACACGGCCCAGACUCCUACGGGAGGCAGCAGUGGGGAAUAUUGGACAAUGGGCGGAAGCCUGAUCCAGCCAUGCCGCGUGUGUGAAGAAGGCCUUAGGGUUGUAAAGCACUUUCAGGGGUGAGGAAGGGUGGAUUGG